GAUGAACGCUGGCGGCGUGCCUAAUACAUGCAAGUCGAGCGAACAGACGAGGAGCUUGCUCCUUCGACGUUAGCGGCGGACGGGUGAGUAACACGUAGGUAACCUACCUAUAAGACUGGGAUAACUUCGGGAAACCGGAGCUAAUACCGGAUAAUAUUUCGAACCGCAUGGUUCGAUAGAGAAAGAUGGCUUUGCUAUCACUUAUAGAUGGACCUGCGCCGUAUUAGCUAGUUGGUAAGGUAACGGCUUACCAAGGCAACGAUACGUAGCCGACCUGAGAGGGUGAUCGGCCACACGGGAACUGAGACACGGUCCAGACUCCUACGGGAGGCAGCAGUAGGGAAUCUUCCGCAAUGGGCGAAAGCCUGACGGAGAAACGCCGCGUGAGUGAUGAAGGUCUUCGGAUCGUAAAACUCUGUUAUUAGGGAAGAACAGACGUGUAAGUAACUGUGCACGUCUUGACGGUACCUAAUCAGAAAGCCACGGCUAACUACGUG
rnacentral:rRNA from 1 species